rnacentral:lncRNA from 1 species
GGUUUGUUUUAUGGCAAUUCGAGUGCUGUGUAUUUGCUUCAUGUUUCGGGGAGUGGGACUUUUUUGGCUAAUGAUACAACAAACCAGACAUUUUGCAUUGCCAUGGAUGGAGUUGAUGCAAAGAGUUUGCAAGCAGCCUUGGAUUGGGCUUGUGGACCGGGGAGGGCUAAUUGCACAGAGAUUCAGCCUGGGGAGAAUUGUUACUCUCCUAACAAUGUGAAAAACCAUGCUUCUUAUGCUUUUGAUAGCUAUUACCAGAAGCAAGGAAAGGCUGCUGGGUCUUGUGAUUUCAAAGGUGUAGCCACCA